GGUCUCGUAGCUCAGCAGUUAGAGGGUUGGAUGCUCUUAUUAUUCCAGUGUCUGUGUCAUCCGAAAACCAGGGUUCGACUCCCUGCGAGACUG